AAUAUUGCGCAAUGGAGGGAGCUCUGACGCAGCGACGCCGCGUGAGCGAUGAAGGUUUUCGGAUCGUAAAGCUCUGUCCUUGGGGAAGAAGGCGGCCAUGUAUGGCCACUUGACGGUACCCAAGGAGGAAGCCCCGGCUAACUACGUGCCAGCAGCCGCGGUAAGACGUAGGGGGCUAGCGUUGUCCGGAAUUACUGGGCGUAAAGGGCACGUAGGCGGGAAUUUAAGUCAGGUGUGAAAGACCGCAGCUCAACUGCGGGGUUGCACUUGAAACUGGAUUUCUUGAGGGCAGGAGAGGAAAGUGGAAUUCCUGGUGUAGCGGUGAAAUGCGUAGAAAUCAGGAGGAACACCGGUGGCGAAGGCGACUUUCUGGACUGACCCUGACGCUGAGGUGCGAAAGCGUGGGUAGCAAAC
rnacentral:rRNA from 1 species